UGAGACUCUUAAUCUCAAGGUUGCGGGUUCGACCCCCGCAUUGGGCU
rnacentral:tRNA from 1 species